rnacentral:tRNA from 1 species
UCCCUGGUGGUUCAGUGGGUGAAGGAUCUGGCAUUGUUGCUGCUGUGGCAUGGGUUCGAUCCCUAACCCGGGAA